GAUGAACGCUGGCGGCGUGCUUAACACAUGCAAGUCGAACGAAACACCUUAUUUGAUUUUCUUCGGAACUGAAGAUUUGGUGAUUGAGUGGCGGACGGGUGAGUAACGCGUGGGUAACCUGCCCUGUACAGGGGGAUAACAGUCAGAAAUGACUGCUAAUACCGCAUAAGACCACAGCACCGCAUGGUGCAGGGGUAAAAACUCCGGUGGUACAGGAUGGACCCGCGUCUGAUUAGCUGGUUGGUGAGGUAACGGCUCACCAAGGCGACGAUCAGUAGCCGGCUUGAGAGAGUGAACGGCCACAUUGGGGCUGAGACACGGCCCAAACUCCUACGGGAGGCAGCAGUGGGGAAUAUUGCACAAUGGGGGAAACCCUGAUGCAGCGACGCCGCGUGAGUGAAGAAGUAUUUCGGUAUGUAAAGCUCUAUCAGCAGGGAAGAAAAUGACGGUACCUGACGAAGAAGCCCCGGCUAACUACGUG
rnacentral:rRNA from 1 species